GCUGUUUUUGAUUAAUGACGUGUACCUGUAGUCUAUUCGGCUUUCCUUCAGAGCUUCCAGUACUGUUUCAAACUCUACCGAAUCAAAAGCCUUCUUGUAACCCACAAAUGCAAGAACCAGUGGUAUGUUGCACUCGUUGCAUCGAGUACAACAUAUAACUGGGACCACACAAUGAUGCUUAAUAAAUAUUUUAGACACAAAUAACACAAGAUAUUGCUUUUGACACGAAAUGGUACAACACUGCUGGUAAAGACAAAAAGAAUUUUAUUUUGAUGCUCAGUUCAGUAGCUAAAAAAGAAGUAGCCUUAAAUGCUGGAAAAAUUGUGACCAUAAAUUACGAAUUUACUUUAAAGAUGUAUCGAAGCAUAAUUUCGUACUACAUGUUUUUGAGGACAAUGGGAAGAAAUCAUUAAAAAUGACAGAUAUACGAUAAAGAUGGCGAUUCUUGUUGGACUUUGAUAAAUCCGAAAUAGUUUGGACUUGUUAUUUAUAGUGCUUUUUAGAUAAUACAUAGUAUAAAAAUAAGUUAUGUUGUUAUAGGUAUACUUCACGUACAGGCCUGGAUCCCGCGUAUUCUUGUUCUCAUGAUCAUUUUUCAGUGCGUCAUUAAUUAUGACGUCAUAUACUGUAUUGGGUGUGUCGAGACUUAUUUCAUGUAAUUAUUGACGAAUCUGACAGAUGCUAGAAUCGUACUUAGCCAUAGGUGAAAAGCUGGUGGAAUUAAACUAAUUAGUAAUUUAGUAUAUUUGAUUUUUACACAAUAUGUUAACAUGUAGCUAUUUUUUAUAAAGGGGAAUAAAAUUAAAAAGUAAACAAUAUUGUUAAUUAAAUUUAUAAAUAUGGAAUCAUUAAAAAAUGACACAAAACUAUCCAUUAAUUGUGUUUUUAUCUCCUUCUCUAGGUGCUGUCUCCGCUUCAAAAGUUGGCAGUCAUCAGAGCGAUCUUUAUUUCUGAAACCGCGGCUCUAAAUAAUUCAUUGUUAUUACAUCCAAACCAGUUCCUAAGGUUCUUCAGCCAUGAGUUACGUCUCCUUACUAUAGAUCUUUUUCUUGCAUAAUGACCUGGAGUAUUAGAUAUACAUCUCUCAUCACAUGUCCCAUAUAUCUCAGUUUUCUUCUUAUUUGUUAGUUCUUCUCGUUCCUUAUGCGUAAGUCUCAUUACCUCCACGUUGGCUAUUCUAUCUACUCAUGAGAUAUUUAGCACUCUUCGGUACAUCUCAAAUGUCUCUAGUCUCCUCACGCCAAUGACUAACUUUUAACGAACUAAAUUCUAAACCAAAACACAAAAAAAUGCACAAAGACGUUGUGAAACACAAGGGAAGUCGAAUUCGAAAUUUCAAAAUGACAGGUACAUAAAAUACCAAUGAACUGUCAAUACGGAUGGAAUGGCCCUGUCCCAUUCAAAUAGUGAAGCGAGAUUGCCACCAACAUACAAGAAAGAGGUUCUAGAGAGAGACAGACAAGGUGCUGGAGAAUUUGACAGGCCGUGUAAUUUGAAUUGCCUAUAUAAAUGGACCUGAUUGAAUCAGUAUUGACAGUUCGUUGAAUGUACCUCAUAUUUUAACUUUCAGGGCUGAUUGGCAGUACAUAUUUCAAAAUUUAAAUACUUUUUUGGAUUUACAGAGUAAAUAGAGUACAGAGUACCAUACUUGGUGUUUAAAUCAGUUUAAAUACUUUUCAGAAUUGUUAUUUGUAUUUAUCAAAACAAAUACCUACUUUCCUAAAGUAUUUGGGAGUUAAAUAAUUUUAAAACUAUUUAAAUACUUAAUUAGUGACUGUUUUAUAUAAAGUGAAGAAGUCCUUGAUUAUGUUUUUAUGUUACUUUUUUUUAUAUUUAGAAUUUUACUUUUAUAUUUCCCCGAUUUAAGUUGAUAUAGGCAACUCAAAUUACACGGCCUGUCAAAGUUUCCAGCACCUUGUCUGUCUCUCUCUAGGACCUCUCUCUUGUAUCGUGGCUGCAUUAAUUGUCUUCGUGCCUAUUCCAUCCGUAUUGACAGUUCAUUGUAAAAUACUGACCUGAAUAAUAACCGUCACUUGACCCUUUGACACUUCUAAAAAAUGGCCAAAAUGAACGAAGUUUUCGUCAAAUGUUCGUAAUACGUGUAUUUGAUUGGCUAGAAAAAACGCGCAUUCUAAAUAUCAACGAAUCAAACGUAGGUUAGGAAUAGACAUCUUAUGUAUAUAACCAUUGUAAUGCUGCAUUAUUUUUGUGUUUAAUCACGGAGCUACCGCUUUUUCCGUCUCAUCUAACUUAAUGCAUUAGAGAGAAAUCGAAAAACUGUGACGCACUGAAAAAUGAUCAUGGGAACAAGAAUACCAAAAAAAGUCGAUUAAUAGCAGGCUGAAAAUUUGUUAAUAGCUUAACCGUGUCUAGUCGGACAAACUUUGAUGUACGGGAACACUGGAACAGGAAAAGUUUUAAUUGUGGAACGUCAUUUUAAUUGUUGACUUGUCAUCCUGACAAGUUUAUGAUUGUGAAAACUAGGAAGUUGUUUUUAAAUUUAUUCAAUAGCAAACUUUGUAUCAUAUUAUAUGAAAAAAUGUUUGUCCGACAAAUAUGUUGAACAUUUUAACAAGUCAGACACGUAGAACAUGUCAAAUGACCGGAGUUAUGUAGGUGGAAAAUAGCAGUCUGAUUUUUGCAUGAAAGUUUAAUGAAAGGGUAACAAAUUACUUGGAAGUUCUGUCCGACAAAAUACAUGGGACGUUUUCGUUGUCUGACAUUCGAAACCCGUAACCUGUUCCACAAUUAAAUUUUCCCCUGUUCCAGUGUUGCUGUGCAUCCAAGUUUGUCCGACUAGACACCAUUAAGCUAUUAACAAAUUUUCAGCUUGCUAUUAAUAAACUUUUUGGUACGCGGCAUCCAGGCCUAGUAUUAUUAAAGUGUAUUAGAAUAUUGCAUUACAUUUUUUUUUCAAUGAAUAAAAAUAUAAAGUCA